CUGUUAAGGCUAGGGGGUCAUCCCGACUUACCAACCCUUUGCAAACUCCGAAUACCAGUAAGUACUAUCCGGGAGACACACGGCGGGUGCUAACGUCCGUCGUGGAGAGGGAAACAACCCAGACCGCCAGCUAAGGUCCCAAAGUAUUGCUAAGUGGGAAACGAUGUGGGAAGGCUCAGACAGCUAGGAUGUUGGCUUAGAAGCAGCCAUCAUUUAAAGAAAGCGUAAUAGCUCACUAGUCGAGUCGGCCUGCGCGGAAGAUGUAACGGGGCUAAGCAAUACACCGAAGCUGCGGCAAUAUCUUUUAGAUAUUGGGUAGGGGAGCGUUCUGUAAGCCGUUGAAGGUGAAUCGUAAGGUUUGCUGGAGGUAUCAGAAGUGCGAAUGCUGACAUGAGUAACGACAAAGGGGGUGAAAAACCUCCUCGCCGGAAGACCAAGGGUUCCUGUCCAACGUUAAUCGGGGCAGGGUGAGUCGACCCCUAAGGUGAGGCCGAAAGGCGUAAUCGAUGGGAAACGGGUUAAUAUUCCCGUACUUCUGACUAUUGCGAUGGGGGGACGGAGAAGGCUAGGUGGGCCAGGCGACGGUUGUCCUGGUUCAAGUGCGUAGGCUUGAGAGUUAGGUAAAUCCGGCUCUCUCUAAGGCUGAGACACGACGUCGAGCUGCUACGGCAGUGAAGUCAUUGAUGCCAUGCUUCCAGGAAAAGCCUCUAAGCUUCAGAUAGUCAGGAAUCGUACCCCAAACCGACACAGGUGGUCGGGUAGAGAAUACCAAGGCGCUUGAGAGAACUCGGGUGAAGGAACUAGGCAAAAUGGUACCGUAACUUCGGGAGAAGGUACGCUCUUGAUGGUGAAGUCCCUCGCGGAUGGAGCUGACGAGAGUCGCAGAUACCAGGUGGCUGCAACUGUUUAUUAAAAACACAGCACUGUGCAAAAUCGCAAGAUGACGUAUACGGUGUGACGCCUGCCCGGUGCCGGAAGGUUAAUUGAUGGGGUUAGCGCAAGCGAAGCUCUUGAUCGAAGCCCCGGUAAACGGCGGCCGUAACUAUAACGGUCCUAAGGUAGCGAAAUUCCUUGUCGGGUAAGUUCCGACCUGCACGAAUGGCGUAAUGAUGGCCACGCUGUCUCCACCCGAGACUCAGUGAAAUUGAAAUCGCUGUGAAGAUGCAGUGUACCCGCGGCUAGACGGAAAGACCCCGUGAACCUUUACUACAGCUUGGCACUGAACAUUGAACCUACAUGUGUAGGAUAGGUGGGAGGCUAUGAAGACGUGACGCCAGUUGCGUUGGAGCCGUCCUUGAAAUACCACCCUUGUAUGUUUGAUGUUCUAACUUAGACCCAUUAUCUGGGUUGAGGACAGUGCCUGGUGGGUAGUUUGACUGGGGCGGUCUCCUCCCAAAGAGUAACGGAGGAGCACGAAGGUGGGCUAAUCACGGUUGGACAUCGUGAGGUUAGUGCAAUGGCAUAAGCCCGCUUAACUGCGAGAAUGACGGUUCGAGCAGGUGCGAAAGCAGGUCAUAGUGAUCCGGUGGUUCUGUAUGGAAGGGCCAUCGCUCAACGGAUAAAAGGUACUCCGGGGAUAACAGGCUGAUACCGCCCAAGAGUUCAUAUCGACGGCGGUGUUUGGCACCUCGAUGUCGGCUCAUCACAUCCUGGGGCUGAAGUCGGUCCCAAGGGUAUGGCUGUUCGCCAUUUAAAGUGGUACGCGAGCUGGGUUUAGAACGUCGUGAGACAGUUCGGUCCCUAUCUGCCGUGGGCGUUGGAAGAUUGAAGGGGGCUGCUCCUAGUACGAGAGGACCGGAGUGGACGAACCUCUGGUGUUCGGGUUGUGUCGCCAGACGCAUUGCCCGGUAGCUAAGUUCGGAAUUGAUAAGCGCUGAAAGCAUCUAAGCGCGAAGCGAGC
rnacentral:rRNA from 1 species